AAAAUAUAGGUUAAGUGGCAUACACAGAUUUCUUAGUGAGAUCCUAAGGGCCUACAGAGACAGGCUGACACCAACUCAACCCUUGAAACUGAGCAAUGAAGAGCCUGUGGGAGGCUAAAAAAUGCUGCUUCAAAAAGAUGUCCUUGUCUGUGAAUGUUAAUUUAGGUUAAUUUGCAGAUUUGAUUAAGGGUCUUGAGAUUAUUUUGGAUUAUCCAGGUGGGCUCUAGGGCCCUAGAUGCAAUCACAAGUGUCCUUAUAACAGGGAGGCAGAGGAAAAUUAAACAUGCACACACGAGAGAGAGAGAGAGAGAGAGAGAGAGAGAGAGAGAGAGAGAGAGAGAGAGAAAGAGAAAGAGAAAGAGAAAGAGAAAGAAAGUAAUAUGAAGACAGCAGCAGAGAUUGGAGCUUGGCAAUAGCCAAGCUAUGUCAGCAGCCGUCAGAAGUUGGAAGAGGCAAGGAAGGAUUUGAGCCUAGAGCCUUCGGAAAGAGCAUGGCCCUGUUGAUUCUGGCCUCCAGAACUGUGAGAAAAUACAUUUUUGUUGUUUUAAACCACCCAGUUUGUGGUAAUUUGUAACACCAGCUACAAGAAAUCAACACAAGGCUGAUGUGACUUUCCAUCAGGAGAGAGACAGCCCCAGGUGAAACCUGCCUGCCUGACAGCUUUCCCAGCCUCCUCCAGGCUCCCCUGUUUUCUCUUAUACACAUUCCCCCCCAGUAAACUUCUUGUACAUUUAAUGCCAUCUCAGUGUCUGCUCCCAAGAGGACCCCAACUGACUCACUGGGGCAUUUAAACUCCAAUUCCUUUCCUCCCUUGGCUGAGAUCUGUUCCAAGAAGUAUCUCCAGGACACUCCAGCCUGUUGCACAGGCCAAAGAAAAGCCCUCAGGCAGAGGAGCAAGUACUUGCAAGAGGACACCAGUGGCAAGAACAGGGACAUGGUGAGACAUCAACAUCAUUGGCUACAGUAGUACUAGUCACUCUUGACUAUGUUGUUUCAAUAGUUUUCCUUCUCAAAAACAUUUGUCACCUAUUUUGGAGUUAAUUCAAAGGACUGCUCCAAAAGAAAAAACUAAAAAGCAAAACCAGCUUUAUUAAAAUGGUUCUGGAUUUAUCUUUUGAGAAUUCCUUUCAUAAGAAAUAAUGUCCUUAAGCUAUAUCAGGAAUAAAAAUGUUCUGCUUGAGAUAGAAAAACCAUUGGUUUUAUGUACCCUACAUCAAAUUCCUAGUGUGAUGUUCAAACCCAUUCCUGAAACCUAUAGCCUGAUAGAUUUCAUAGGAUAAAAAGCCUGAGUUUAAGAGUUCUUAAAAGCAGAGUAAUUAGUCUAAUGGGUUUGGAAAUAAUAUGCAGUUUAAGGCCUAAAUGAUCUGCAUGUGAUACAUAUACAUGUUUAUAUGUUUUAUUCUACUUAAAAUGAGGAAUAGGUGUUCUGACUUUAAUUCUACUUAGUAGGCCAGUAAGGUGUAACAGAAAAUUCAUCCAGAAUGAAUACUGUUUUGGUUUGGCUGUUUCCCAACCCAGUCGCACCUUGAAUUGUAAUAAUCCCCACAUGUCAAGGGCAGGACCAGGUGGAGACAGCUGAAUCAUGGCAGGUGGUUUCUGCCAUGCUGUUCUCCUGCUAGUGGGUUCUCAUGAAAUCUCAUGGUUUUAUAAGGGGCUUCCCCCUUCCCUCGACACUCAUUCUUUCUGUUGCCACCCUGUGAAGAUGUGCCUUUCGUCAUGAUUGUAAGUUUCCUGAGGCCUUCCCACCCAUGCAGAACUGUGAGUCAAUUAAACCGCUUCAUAAAUUA